UACGUGAAACUGCUUAGAGGUUAAGCCCGAUGAACCUGAAUAUCCGUUGUAGAAAAUUCAUCAUCAAGUCUGGAAUAUUUUUUAAAUAUUCUAUGAGUGGUGUGCACUUUUUCUACUUAAGGACAUUGUAAUCUGUUAAUGUUUAAAUGCGUAUUAUAAGAACAUUUGCAAUAGUUUUUACAUUAUUUAAUUUAUUAAAUUUGUUUAAAUGUGAGUGCUUCGAAUAUGCCAUUGACAGAUUUUACAUAUAUUGCACUUAAAUCUUCGGAUUUUAUAAUAAUAUGUAUAUCAUUGAUAUAUGUAUUUAUUAUAUGUGCAUAUAUGAUUGACAAUGCGAAAGAUUCAGGAUACCUUCGGGACCCGUCUUGAAACACGGACCAAGGAGUCUAACAUAUGUGCAAGUCAUUGGGUUCUAAACCUAAAGGCGAAAUUAACUUAACUGUUAAUGGGAUCAGUAUGUAUUUUUUAUAAAUAUAUAUUCAAUCCCGGGGCGUUCUAUAUAGUUAUGUAUAAUAAUAUUUAUAUUAUUUAUACCUCUAACUGGAACGCACCUUGAGCAUAUAUGCUGUGACCCGAAAGAUGGUGAACUAUACUUGAUCAGGUUGAAGUCA
rnacentral:rRNA from 1 species